rnacentral:rRNA from 1 species
UACGUAGGGUGCGAGCGUUAAUCGGAAUUACUGGGCGUAAAGCGUGCGCAGGCGGUUUUGUAAGCCGGAUGUGAAAUCCCCGGGCUUAACCUGGGAAUGGCAUUCGGGACUGCAAGGCUGGAGUGCGGCAGAGGAGACUGGAAUUCCUGGUGUAGCAGUGAAAUGCGUAGAUAUCAGGAGGAACACCGAUGGCGAAGGCAGGUCUCUGGGCUGACACUGACGCUCAUGCACGAAAGCGUGGGGUGCAAACAGG